rnacentral:tRNA from 1 species
GCUGGUGUAGCUCAGCUGGUAGAGCAGCUGAUUUGUAAUCAGCAGGUCGGGGGUUCGAGUCCCUUCACCAGCUCCA